UGCUCCCUGAUGUUAGCGGCGGACGGGUGAGUAACACGUGGGUAACCUGCCUGUAAGACUGGGAUAACUCCGGGAAACCGGGGCUAAUACCGGAUGGUUGUCUGAACCGCAUGGUUCAGACAUAAAAGGUGGCUUCGGCUACCACUUACAGAUGGACCCGCGGCGCAUUAGCUAGUUGGUGAGGUAACGGCUCACCAAGGCGACGAUGCGUAGCCGACCUGAGAGGGUGAUCGGCCACACUGGGACUGAGACACGGCCCAGACUCCUACGGGAGGCAGCAGUAGGGAAUCUUCCGCAAUGGACGAAAGUCUGACGGAGCAACGCCGCGUGAGUGAUGAAGGUUUUCGGAUCGUAAAGCUCUGUUGUUAGGGAAGAACAAGUGCCGUUCAAAUAGGGCGGCACCUUGACGGUACCUAACCAGAAAGCCACGGCUAACUACGUGCCAGCAGCCGCGGUAAUACGUAGGUGGCAAGCGUUGUCCGGAAUUAUUGGGCGUAAAGGGCUCGCAGGCGGUUUCUUAAGUCUGAUGUGAAAGCCCCCGGCUCAACCGGGGAGGGUCAUUGGAAACUGGGGAACUUGAGUGCAGAAGAGGAGAGUGGAAUUCCACGUGUAGCGGUGAAAUGCGUAGAGAUGUGGAGGAACACCAGUGGCGAAGGCGACUCUCUGGUCUGUAACUGACGCUGAGGAGCGAAAGCGUGGGGAGCGAACAGGAUUAGAUACCCUGGUAGUCCACGCCGUAAACGAUGAGUGCUAAGUGUUAGGGGGUUUCCGCCCCUUAGUGCUGCAGCUAACGCAUUAAGCACUCCGCCUGGGGAGUACGGUCGCAAGACUGAAACUCAAAGGAAUUGACGGGGGCCCGCACAAGCGGUGGAGCAUGUGGUUUAAUUCGAAGCAACGCGAAGAACCUUACCAGGUCUUGACAUCCUCUGACAAUCCUAGAGAUAGGACGUCCCCUUCGGGGGCAGAGUGACAGGUGGUGCAUGGUUGUCGUCAGCUCGUGUCGUGAGAUGUUGGGUUAAGUCCCGCAACGAGCGCAACCCUUGAUCUUAGUUGCCAGCAUUCAGUUGGGCACUCUAAGGUGACUGCCGGUGACAAACCGGAGGAAGGUGGGGAUGACGUCAAAUCAUCAUGCCCCUUAUGACCUGGGCUACACACGUGCUACAAUGGACAGAACAAAGGGCAGCGAAACCGCGAGGUUAAGCCAAUCCCACAAAUCUGUUCUCAGUUCGGAUCGCAGUCUGCAACUCGACUGCGUGAAGCUGGAAUCGCUAGUAAUCGCGGAUCAGCAUGCCGCGGUGAAU
rnacentral:rRNA from 1 species